CUGGAACGGUUCCUGACUAAAAUCUAUAUGGCCUCUGGAUUGGACUGCGGCCGAUCAGGCUGUUGGUGAGGUAAUGGCCCACCAAACCUGUAACCGGUACGGGUUCUGAGAGGAGAAGCCCGGAGAUGGGCACUGAGACAAGGGCCCAGGCCCUAUGGGGCGCAGCAGGCGCGAAACCUCUGCAAUAGGCGAAAGCCUGACAGGGUUACUCUGAGUGACUUUCGCUAAGAAAGUCUUUUGGCACCUCUAAAAAGGGUGCAGAAUAAGGGGUGGGCAAGUCUGGUGUCAGCCGCCGCGGCAAUACCAGCACCCCGAGUGGUCGGGACGAUUAUUGGGCCUAAAGCAUCCGUAGCCGGUUCAGCAAGUCCCCCGUUAAAUCCAGCUGCUCAACAGAUGGGCCGCGGAGGAUACUACAGAGCUAGGAGGCAGGAGAGGCAAGCGGUACUCAGUGGGUAGGGGUAAAAUCCGUUGAUCCAUUGAAGACCACCAGUGGCGAAGGCGGCUUGCCAGAAUGCGCUUGACGGUGAGGGAUGAAAGCUGGGGGAGCAAACCGGAUUAGAUACCCGGGUAGUCCCAGCCGUAAACGAUGCAGACUCGGUGAUGGGUUGGCUUCGCGCUAACCCAGUGCCGCAGGGAAGCCGUUAAGUCUGCCGCCUGGGUAGUGCGGUCGCAAGACUGAAACUUAAAGGAAUUGGCGGGGGAGCACCACAAGGGGUGAAGCCUGCGGUUCAAUUGGACUCAACGCCGGU
rnacentral:rRNA from 1 species